rnacentral:rRNA from 1 species
GACAGAAGUCCCGAGCGUUAGGCGGAAUCACUGGGCUUAAAGCGUGUGUAGGCGGAUGCCUAAGUACCUUGUGAAAUCCCACGGCUCACCCGUGGAACUGCUUGGUAUACUGGGUGUCUUGAGCCACUUAGGGGCUACCGGAACAAAUGGUGGAGCGGUGAAAUGCGUAGAUAUCAUUUGGAACGCCAAUGGUGAAAACAGGUAGCUGGGAGUGUGCUGACGCUGAGACACGAAAGCCAGGGGAGCAAACGGG